ensembl:lncRNA
AACUGCAGUGAGAAGGGGUUUGUUUGUUUYCUUUUUAAAUGUUAUCCUUCCUUCCUCCUCCUCCUUUUUAAUGAAGAUGUAUUUAUACAAAAACUCACCCCGUGUUGAGCAUGGCACAUGGACAGGUUGGCCACUUUGGACUACUUUUGCAACAAUGGAUUCUGCUGGACUGAUAUUGAAACCAUGGGACAGACCUCAGGSAGCUGUUUGGCAGCACUUCCUCACUUAAGCUGACGAGUUAACUGCCUUUGCAAGAAGGGUGUUGGAGGAUUCUUCCAGGGGAUGCUUGAGAGCAGAAACCCACUACGAGGACUCCCUUCCUCUCUGUGCCAGCGUCUCAUCCCACAGCGUACAGGGAGAACGCAGAAGCUACCAGGAUCCAUGAAGUUCCUCCUUGAGCAUCAUUUCAAAUUUUCAGUGCAUUUAGAAGGUCUUCAAAAGGGUAUUUUCGGCAUUGCUCGUCUGACUUUGGAAUACAAGGAGUGUCGGCUCUGGUGUCUGCUGGCUUCAGCGAGGGCUGGUGGGCGUCCGGGCAGCCCGUUACUGUCUGAAAUACCGUGCCCUGACCAGCCUCGUCAUCCCGAUGGGCGCUGGCGACCUGGGGAGCUUUUGAAGUCUGACRUCUUGGAAAGCUCAUCGCCAAAGCCUGAAACCGAAGGUGCAGCGGUCCCACUGGCAGACCG